AUUGAACGCUGGCGGAAUGCUUUACACAUGCAAGUCGAACGGCAGCACGGGGCAACCUGGUGGCGAGUGGCGAACGGGUGAGUAAUAUAUCGGAACGUGCCCAAUCGUGGGGGAUAACGUAGCGAAAGUUACGCUAAUACCGCAUACGAUCUACGGAUGAAAGCGGGGGAUCGCAAGACCUCGCGCGAAUGGAGCGGCCGAUAUCAGAUUAGGUAGUUGGUGGGGUAAAGGCUCACCAAGCCAACGAUCUGUAGCUGGUCUGAGAGGACGACCAGCCACACUGGAACUGAGACACGGUCCAGACUCCUACGGGAGGCAGCAGUGGGGAAUUUUGGACAAUGGGCGCAAGCCUGAUCCAGCCAUUCCGCGUGCAGGAUGAAGGCCUUCGGUUGGUAACUAGCUUUUGUUACGGAACGAAACGGUACUGCCUAUACGGCGGGCGUAAUGACGGUACCGUAACGAA
rnacentral:rRNA from 1 species